GACGAACGCUGGCGGCGUGCUUAACACAUGCAAGUCGAACGGAAAGGCCCUGCUUUUGUGGGGUGCUCGAGUGGCGAACGGGUGAGUAACACGUGAGUAACCUGCCCUUGACUUUGGGAUAAAUUCAGGAAACUGGGGCUAAUAUCGGAUAGGAGCUCCUGCUGCAUGGUGGGGGUUGGAAAGUUUCGGCGGUAGGGGAUGGACUCGCGGCUUACCAGCUUGUUGGUGGGGUAGGGGCUGACCAAGCCUUAGACGGAUAGCCGGCCUGGGAGGGUGGCCGGCCACCUGAGGACUGAGGUAGGGAGCAGACGCCAACAGGGGGCAACGGGGGGAAAUAUUACACAGUGAGCGGGAGCCUGUUACGACGGCCCCCCGUGCGGAAAGACCUCCUUCGGGUUAUGAACCGCUUUCGCCUGUGACGAAGCGGGAGUGACGGUAAUGAAUAAAGAAGCACCGGCUAACUACGUG
rnacentral:rRNA from 1 species